UUCAAGCGGUGAUGAAAAUGACAUCUUGUCACAGUACUGAACACUCCGUGUGGGUUUAGUCACUACCUCAUCUGAGCUUGUA
rnacentral:snoRNA from 1 species